rnacentral:rRNA from 1 species
GAUGAACGCUGGCGGUGUGCCUAAUACAUGCAAGUCGAGCGAACGCACGAGAAGCUUGUUCUCCUGAUGUUAGCGAGGGACGGGCGAGUAACACGUGGAUAACCUACCUAUAAGACUGGGAUAAUUUCGGGAAACCGCUGCUAAUAAUGGCUGAUACUUUGUACGGCAUGGUUCAAAAGUGCUUGACGGCUUUGCUGAAACUUUUAGAUGGUUCCGGAUUGGAUUAGCUAGUUGGUAAGGUAACGGCUUACCAAGGCAACGAUGCAUAGCCGAUCUGAGAGGGUGAUCAGCCACACUGGAACUGAGACACGGUCCAGACUCCUACGGGAGGCAGCAGUAGGGAAUCUUCCACAAUGGGCGAAAGCCUGACGGAGCAACACCGCGUGAGUGAUGAAGGUCUUCGGAUCGUAAAACUCUUUUAUUAGGGAAGAACAGAUGCGUAUGUAACUGUGCAUGUCUUGACGGUACCUAAACAGAAAGCCACGGCUAACUUCGUG